rnacentral:rRNA from 1 species
UCGAACGCGAAAGGCCCCUUCGGGGGCCGAGUAGAGUGGCGCACGGGUGAGUAACACGUAGGUAAUCUACCUCUGGGUGGGGAAUAACGACCGGAAACGGUCGCUAAUACCGCAUAAUGCAGCGGCACCACAUGGUGACAGUUGUUAAAGCGGGGGAUCGUAAGACCUCGCGCCUAGAGAUGAGCCUGCGGCGGAUUAGCUAGUUGGCAGGGUAAUGGCCUACCAAGGCAACGAUCCGUAGCCGGCCUGAGAGGGCGGACGGCCACACUGGCACUGACAUACGGGCCAGACUCCUACGGGAGGCAGCAGUCGGGAAUUUUGGGCAAUGGGCGAAAGCCUGACCCAGCAACGCCGCGUGAAGGAUGAAGCUUUUCGGAGUGUAAACUUCAUAAGAAUGGGACGAAUAAGGAGGGGUUAACACCCCCUUUGAUGACGGUACCAUUUGUAAGCUCCGGCUAACUCCGUGCCAGCAGCCGCGGUAAUACGGGGGGAGCAAGCGUUGUUCGGAUUUACUGGGCGUAAAGGGCGCGUAGGCGGCGCAACAAGUCACUUGUGAAAUCUCCGGGCUUAACCCGGAGCGGCCAAGUGAUACUGUCGUGCUAGAGUGCGGAAGGGGCUACUGGAAUUCUCGGUGUAGCGGUGAAAUGCGUAGAUAUCGAGAGGAACACCUGCGGCGAAGGCGGGUUGCUGGGCUGACACUGACGCUGAGGCGCGAAAGCUAGGGGAGCGAACGGGAUUAGAUACCCCGGUAGUCCUAGCCU